UGGCUCAGACGGUAAAGCAUCUGUCUGCAAUGCAGGAGACCCAGGUUCGAUGCCUGG
rnacentral:tRNA from 1 species